ACCCUCCUCACUCUCCUCCUCCCAGCCGUUCCUCUUUCUUCUCUCACCUCCCUCUUCCUUCUCUCUCCUCCCAACUGUUCCUCGCAAAUAAACCCUCCUCACUCUCCUCCCCCCAACCGUUUCUCGCAACCUCCUUCUAUGUAGAUCCGUUGAACUUGUGACAAUCCAAGAGAUUGACGGAACUCGCAAAUGAAAAUCGGGUGAAUUUAGAAACUAAGGCUCAAAGAAGAAGAUAGAAGAACAAGAAAAUUGAAGGAGAUUUUUUUUAUUGGAAUUGGUUUGAUUCAAGAAAUUGGAGAAUUGAAGGGGAUUUUUUUACUUUUAUUAGAAGAGCAAGAAAUUCAAGAGCAAGACAGAUCUAAAUUGUUGGAAUUUUUUUUAUUCGUUAAUUCAUCAUUCAUCAUCUGUACUUCUAUUAACUUCUAACCCCACAUGACCUAUUAGAGUCACAUCAAGCCCAAAACCCGUCGUAAACCAUCGGACCCACUCGACCCGCACAACCUACCACAACCCACGUAACCCAUGACCUAUCAUGUAACAUACCUAUUUUAAUUUUUUCGGAUACAACCCAUGGUCAUACCCACCUUGACUUUCACACAGGUGAGUCGUGCUUCAACUAUUCCCGACAUAUGACUCACCAAACCCACCCAUGAGUCCAUGACCCACCUACCCGUGGCCUAUCUCUAGAACAUCCAUACAGACUAUAUAACUUGACCCAAUAGUUUUGAAUUCUCGGAUUCGUACCAAGUUUAUGUUCGACAACAUAGCAUUGAAUAGAAGAUUUUAUCUCCCACUAUAAUUUAGGAUAAGGACAAAUUGUUUUUUACCACCUAUAAAAAUCGAUUUUUUUUUUUACCACCUAAAAAACUAAAACUUGUAUUAUUUUUUUAAAAAAUUAGGUGGUAAAAUACAAGUUUUAGUUUUUUAGGUUGUAAAAAAUAAUUUUUCGACUUUUUUAGGUGGUAAUAACAAUUUAUCCUUUGGAUAAUUAACAACCACUAUUAUUUUAGUUAAAAUAAUAAAAAAUAGGAAGCAAUAUAAUCCUUAGAAUUGUUUUAGAAUGCAUGCAUGCAUUGUCUUAAAUUUGAUAGGAAAGAAACAGUUUGCUAAUUUAAAAACGUAUCUUUAGCAAACUAAAAACUAUAUACACGUAGGUUAUUGUUUGUGAUAAUAAAACAAAAGAAAACACAAAAGCAGAGAGAGGGAGGGAGAGAGAGAGAGAGAGAGAGAGAGAGAGAGAGAGAGAGGGAGAGGCUUUAAGAGAAAUUUUAGAGAAAAAUUCUUGGCUGUAAUUGGGGUGUAUGGCCUGGCUGUGAGUUAAACUAAGUAUUGUGAACACUUGUGUAUUAUUUAUCUUUUCAGUAAAAAAUUUGCAGCGUAUUUAGAGAUUAUAACACUUGUCGGAUAAUCAAUUCACUAGUAGAAAAAACCUCAAGUGCUUUGAACAAAGUGCUUGGGUUUUAGAGAAAACCCAAGCACUUGAUUGAACCCAAAAAACAAAAUCUGAGUAAGUGCUUGGGGUUUUCUAUUACCCCAAGCACAAAGUUAUAAAUUUACAUGUGCUUGGGGUUUACUAUUCACCCCAAGCACUAAACCUCCCCUUUGCAAUUUUUUCACUUAGGUUAAUUUCAAUUUACAAUGACAAAAAUUCCCUCCACUGCCAAAAUUUCAUUCCCCGCCUAACGCACACCUCUCAUUGCCCUUCUUGCUUCUUUCUUCUCGUUGCACCGCCGUUCUUCUUGCUCCGUUCAUCUCGACACCUCUGGUCGCUGCUUGCUCUGUUCUUGGCUCUGUUCUUCGCUGCUUGUUCUCGUUCUUCUUGCACCGCCCUUCUACUAGCUUGCACCGCCGUCGCUCUUGCACCGUCGUUCUUCUUGCACCGCCGUCUCUCUUGCACCAUCGUUCUUCUUGCACCUCCGUCGCUUAUGCUCUGUUCUUCGCUUCUUGGCUAUGUCGUACACCGUUCUACGCGCACCUCUCCUUGGUUUCUGGAAGCCGUUUUUCUUGGCCCCGUUCUGCUUGCUCCGCGGCUGGCUCCUCUCCUCUCCUACGCGGACCUCCAGUAUCACCGCUAUCUUGCAGAUAGAGUCUCUGUCAGUUACUUUACAUGGACAUGAUAUGAUAGUUGACUCGAUGUUGGAGCUUAAUUAAGGAAGGAAUUCAUGAACAAACCAAGGGAGCGUUCCUUCAGGACUGAUGAAAUAAAAUGUGUUCGAGACAAGUUAGCACGAUUUAUUACUAAAGAAUGUCUUGGAUUGUUCGCGGUUUUAGCAUUAUAAUGAAUCUAAUACUGUAGUUAGCUACCUUUUUUCAUUAAUCAAUUUAGAUACAAUAUGUUUUAAUCCGUUGUUUGAUAUUUGUUUUGAUUUUUUUUCACUUGUGUUAUUAAAUGGUGUAUGGAUGAGCUAAGGCCAUGUUUGUUGGUGUAUAGUAUAUACGGUGUGGUUGAAUGA